UGCGUAGGUGGCGGGGUAAGUCUGGUGUGAAAUCUCGGAGCUCAACUCCGAAACUGCACUGGAUACUGCCUUGCUCGAGUACUGGAGAGGAGAUUGGAAUUUACGGUGUAGCAGUGAAAUGCGUAGAUAUCGUAAGGAAGACCAGUGGCGAAGGCGAAUCUCUGGACAGUUACUGACACUGAGGACAGGCCAGGGGAGCGAAC
rnacentral:rRNA from 1 species